CAAAUACUCCCUCCGUCCAAAAAUACUUGUCAUCAAAAUGGAUAAAAGGAAAUGUAUCUAGACGUAUUUUAGUUUUGGAUACAUCUAUUUUUAUCCAUUUUGAUGACAAGUAUUUUCGGAUGGAGGGGUAUUUA
rnacentral:pre_miRNA from 1 species